CCUACGGGAGGCAGCAGUGAGGAAUCUUGCGCAAUGGGCGAAAGCCUGACGCAGCCACGCCGCGUGCCGGAUGACGGCCCUAUGGGUUGUAAACGGCUUUUACUAGGGAAGAACGAGAGGGUUUUGAUCUUCUGUGACGGUACCUAGUGAAUAAGCACCGGCUAACUCCGUGCCAGCAGCCGCGGUAAUACGGAGGGUGCAAGCGUUGUCCGGAAUCAUUGGGUGUAAAGGGUGCGUAGGCGGGAGCCUAAGUCUGGGGUGAAAUCUUGCCGCUUAACGGUAAAAUGGCCUUGGAUACUGGGUUUCUUGAGUGCAGAAGAGGCAGGUGGAAUUCGUGGUGUAGCGGUGAAAUGCUUAGAUAUCACGAAGAACAUCAGUGGCGAAGGCGGCCUGCUGGUCUGCAACUGACGCUGAGGCACGAAAGCGUGGGGAGCGAACAGGAUUAGAUACCCUGGUAGUCCACGCCGUAAACGAUGCAUACUAGGUGUUGGCCUUAGGGCCAGUGCUGCAGUUAACGCAUUAAGUAUGCCACCUGGGGAGUACGUCGGCAACGAUGAAACUCAAAGGAAUUGACG
rnacentral:rRNA from 1 species